UGAAAAGCUAUGAGCAGGAGUAGUAAUAUUUUUUCACUUAUAAGAGAGCUUGUUGGUUGGUGUAAAACAGCAGUGAACAAUAUGAACUUGCCUGGGAGCAUAUCUGUUAAAAACAGAUACGGUUUUACCGUUAAAAAGUAUAGUAAGUAGAAGACUUUUUAAGUCUUAAUUAGAGUGGUACCGCGGAGAUUAAUAACCUUCGUCUCUUAA
rfam:Clostridium tetani E88, complete genome.